UGGCUGCACUUCACAAGGCUUAGUGCCAUGUAGGGUGCCACUUUCAUGUGAGAUGAUGUGCUCUAUAGAGUAAGAUAUUGUGAUGAAGUAUCUUAAUGAGUGCCCUUCUAGUAGAGAAAAUGUGAUGUAGUGUCUUAAUGAGUGCCUUUCUAGUACAGAAAAUGUGAUGUGGUAUCUUAAUGAGUUCCUAUCUAGUAGAGAAAAUGUGAUGUGGUGUCUUAAUGAGUGCCUAUCUAGUGAACCAAAUGCAAUGUGAUGCCCAAUAAGGUGCCCUUUCAAAGGUCUAAACAGCCCCUAUGGGUGCCCCUCCAAUGGAAAAGGGGGACAUUAUGAAGUGCCCUUCUAUUGGAGGAAAAUGAUUCCCUCUGGGGUGCCCUUCCAAGUAAGAAAACAUGAUGAAUUGCCCUUGUAAUGGGGGGAAGGUUACCUCUGAAGGGUGCCCUGCCAGUGAAGGAAAUGAGAUACGGUGCCCCACUAUUAAAAACUGUUUCUCUUCUCUUUCUUACUUAAUGAAGCAAAUAAGACUGAAAUAACUUUUCAUUGCGUUUUGUGGGUUCUAGUUGGUGCAUGGUCUGUAGAUUAUGCAGAGAAAACCCUGUGUGCAGUGAGAGGAUCGACUGUGGUCAUUCGCUGUCGAUUUAAUCAUCCAGAGUCAUACAGAGUGGAGUCGAUGAUGUGGAGCCAUAAUACUGAGGACUGUGCUGGAAAAUUAUAUGUCUGGCACAGUAAGAGUUAUAAAAUGAACAUUGGUGCUGAGUACAGAGACAGGGCAGAGGUCUUGGGGAACACAGAGAACAACUGUACAUUAAUGAUAAAGAACAUUACAGACACUGAUGCUGGACUGUAUAGAUUCAGUUUCACAGCUAAUAGGUGUGAACUGUGUGCUCAGCCUGCAGUAGAACUGCGAGUCGGUGCUGAAAGUAACCUAAUGACAGUGAUACUAGUGUGUCUGGGGAUACUACUGGCUGUUUUAGCUGUAACAAUCUGCAUAAUGAGGAGGAAGACUGGUUUACUGAGUGAGGAAGGUCACAGGAGAGAAGGAGCUCAG